ACGGCUCCAUGUUCACCACACUACUGUAUUACAACAGCCAUUGUACUUUGCUACACAACAACCACGAGCUCAGCUUAAGUAAACACAUCGAUUAGCUAAGGAUUUGAUAGCCACAAUCUGGUGAAUAAAGUAAAUCGGAUGUUUUAUGCCCUAGAGCUGUAACGUUAAGUUUCUUGAGAAACCGGGGGUGUGAGUCAAGAGUUUUCCGUAACCAUGGAUACCACUCUAGAGUCCCUCGUGUUGCCUGAGGAAAGAGACACGCAUAGUUCAUUCUUUUUACGCUCAGUAUCAGUAAGAAAAUAUUUAUUUUAACCAGACAAGACAACAGUUCGUUACAAUAAACUGAAAACUACAUUUAACUCACCAAACCGUUAGCCGAGGUUUUCUACUGAAGUUGUUUCGCUCACACGUUAUUUUCGCCUACUUUGUGAAAACCCGUUCAUUUUUUCAUAGGGAAUUUUUCGUUCGUUGGAACCAGGGAGUGUUAAGAUGCUAACACUAUAAACUACAAACUUCUGGUCGAUUCUAUUCUGAACAUGGGGUUUUAAUUUAAUGUAUUCUGCCUUUACGGCUUCAACUAGGGAGUAAUGUGAACUUGUCUGACCUGUGAUCUCUUUUCAGUCUGCCCUCAACACACCUCUGUCUACACACACUCAUCAACUAACACAGAUCUGUCGCUCAAGAAAGCAAAGUGUGAAAAAUAAAAAUAAUAACAAAGGAGGUGAAAUAAAAUAUUUACUAAAUGCAGAUACUGGGGGUCUCCCAUUCACACACACAAACACAAGAAGCACUUUUAGACUCAUCUGUUAUCAGUGACGAGAAUGUCCACAUGUACUGCUUUGGGUAUCAGUUUACAGCCGGCUCUUGGCCAUAAGGCAGCAGAGCAGACAAUCUUUGAACAAGUUUUUUGUACCCUGUAACUGCUACAAAGUUCAGCGGUCAUUAUGUAACCGGCGCCCUCGGGAUGACUUGCACUUCUGUAAUACAGAUGUUUUGUUAAGGCGAUCUGCUGAAGUUUUCAUGUAGUCUAGUUCAGUUCAGUAGUACAGUUUAUGCUGAAUAACUCCUGCCUUCUCUUCAAACGGACUCCCCUCAGUGCUGGUUGGUGAAGAUGCAUCACAUCACCUGGACAGCCUUGCUGCUGUCAGUCACUCUGUCUGUGAGUUCUGGAGGUAACGUGCUGGUGUUCCCGUUAGAUGGCAGCCACUGGGUGAACAUGAAGGUCAUCAUUGAGGAGCUGCACUCCCGAGGCCACAGCAUUACUGUAGUGCGAGCCUCAGACAGCUGGUACAUUAAAGAGGAGUCUUCCCAUUACAGUGCCAUCACCAUCCCCACCGCUGGAGGCUUUGAUGAGGAGUUCUUUGGCACCUUUGUCAAUAGACUGCUGUAUAUACGGAAAGAACAAAAGUUCUGGAGUAAUUUGAUGUUUGAGUUAGAAGUAAUAGAGAAGCUCUCGGAGAUGCAUCAAAAAAUGUGUGAGAUGAUGGCAAUGAUGUUUGAAGAUGAGGCUCUUAUGAAAUCGCUCACAGAUGCCAAGUUUGACGUAGUCCUAACAGAUCCAGCAGUUGGUGGCGGAGUCUUUUUGGCUCGACGUCUCAGUCUUCCAUUGGUGUUAAACGUGAGGUGGACUGUCCAUGGAGAGGCCCACUAUGCCAUCGCUCCCUCCCCUCUCUCCUAUGUCCCCUACCCAAGAAUAGAACUGACAGACAAGAUGACUUUCUUUCAGAGGGUUCAGAACAUGCUGACAUAUGCCUUUGGUUUUUUUCAGUGGCAAAUGAUUGUUGCUCCCCACUACACAGCUUUCUGCAAACGUUUCUUUGGCCCUGAGGUUGACUAUUUCUCCUUGUUCCAGGAUGCUGAUAUCUGGCUCAUGAGGAAUGACUUCACCUUUGACUUUCCACGCCCAACCAUGCCCAAUGUGGUCUAUAUGAGUGGGUUCCAAUGCAAGCCUGCUAGACCACUUCCUGUUGACCUGGAAGAGUUUGUCCAAAGUUCAGGGGAGCAUGGGGUCAUCAUCAUGUCCCUGGGAACUCUGUUUGCAGAGCUCCCUAGUGACAUCACUGAGGAGAUUGCGGCGGCUUUUGCUCAGCUUCCCCAAAAGGUCAUCUGGAGACAUAAAGGGGCCAAGCCCUCGAGUCUUGGCAACAACACCUUACUGGUGGACUGGAUGCCCCAAAAUGACCUGCUGGGACACCCAAAGACUAAAGUGUUUGUAGCACAUGGGGGCACCAAUGGUGUCCAAGAGGCAAUCUCCCACGGGGUCCCGAUAGUUGGCCUGCCUCUGGUAUUAGAUCAGCCUGAUAAUCUUUUCAAAAUGGAGGUACGAGGAACUGCUAAGGUAGUGGAUGUUGCCACUCUGGACAGAGCAGUGUUUGUGGAGGCGUUAAGGGCAGUGCUGUAUGAACCGUCCUACAGGGAGAACAUGCAGAGGCUCUCCAGGAUCCACCAUGACCAGCCCAUAAAGCCUCUGGACCGCGCCAUUUUCUGGAUAGAGUUCGUCAUGAGGCAUGGAGGCGCCCCUCAUCUGCGCACACAGUCCUUCAGGAUGUCCUGGAUGGCUUAUCAUUCUAUAGACGUCAUACUGACUCUACUGAUGGCUUUGGUCCUCUUACUACUCAUUAUGUUCCUGGCCAUCAAGAAAUGUUAUUCCGUUUUAUUCAAAAAGAAAGUCAAAUGUGAGUAAUGUUUGAUGAAAUAGUGCUGUAACUAUGUAAGAACAUCUAGUAAUUACUAGCAUCAUUGUGCAGGUUGUAUGCAUCCUGUUAGGACAAAAAACUGCUUUUCAGUUAAAUGUAAUGUAAUGGCGCUUUUCUGUAAUCAUAAAAAUCAUAAAAAUGUAAGAGAAUUAUUAUUUGUCACUAUUUCGAAAUGUUACUACUUUACUUUUUAGGAUAUGGUCUUUCCAAAAUGAAUACAGGUGUGACUAGGGCUGAGGUAACAAUUUAGGCCCACAAAUUGUCUCUGUCACUCACUAAUAAAAUCUACAAAAUGGGAACCCUGAUUUCAAAGAUCUGA